rnacentral:rRNA from 1 species
UACGUAGGGUGCGAGCGUUGUCCGGAAUUACUGGGCGUAAAGAGCUCGUAGGUGGUUUGUCGCGUUGUUCGUGAAAACUCACAGCUUAACUGUGGGCGUGCGGGCGAUACGGGCAGACUGGAGUACUGCAGGGGAGACUGGAAUUCCUGGUGUAGCGGUGGAAUGCGCAGAUAUCAGGAGGAAUACCGAUGGCGAAGGCAGGUCUCUGGGCUAUAACUGACGCUCAUGCACGAAAGCGUGGGGAGCAAACAGG